rnacentral:tRNA from 1 species
GCGGGGGUGUCAGAGCCUGGUCAAUUUCAAAUAAAAGUUGAAGACCCCAUGAAUACGGUUGAGGGCCGUAUACCUUAGUGGUUGCGAGGGUUCAAAUCCCUUCCCCCGCA